UACGUAGGGUGCAAGCGUUGUCCGGAAUUAUUGGGCGUAAAGGGCUCGUAGGCGGUCCAUCGCGUCGGGAGUGAAAAGCUGGGGCUUAACCCCAGUCCUGCUUCCGAUACGGGUGGACUAGAGGUAGGCAGGGGAGAACGGAAUUCCUGGUGUAGCGGUGAAAUGCGCAGAUAUCAGGAGGAACACCGAUGGCGAAGGCAGCCCCCUGGGCCAACACUGACGCUCAGGCACGAAAGCGUGGGGAGCAAACAGG
rnacentral:rRNA from 1 species